UUGAACGCUGGCGGCAGGCCUAACACCUGCAAGUCGAACGGUAACAGGAAGCAGCUUGCUGCUUUGCUGACGAGUGGCGGACGGGUGAGUAAUGUCUGGGAAACUGCCUGAUGGAGGGGGAUAACUACUGGAAACGGUAGCUAAUACCGCAUAAUGUCGCAAGACCAAAGAGGGGGACCUUCGGGCCUCUUGCCAUCGGAUGUGCCCAGAUGGGAUUAGCUAGUAGGUGGGGUAAAGGCUCACCUAGGCGACGAUCCCUAGCUGGUCUGAGAGGAUGACCAGCCACACUGGAACUGAGACACGGUCCAGACUCCUACGGGAGGCAGCAGUGGGGAAUAUUGCACAAUGGGCGCAAGCCUGAUGCAGCCAUGCCGCGUGUAUGAAGAAGGCCUUCGGGUUGUAAAGUACUUUCAGCGGGGAGGAAGGGAGUAAAGUUAAUACCUUUGCUCAUUGACGUUACCCGCAGAAGAAGCACCGGCUAACUCCGUG
rnacentral:rRNA from 1 species